UACAGAGGGUGCGAGCGUUAAUCGGAAUUACUGGGCGUAAAGCGUGCGUAGACGGUAGCGUAAGUCGGGUGUGAAAGCCCCGGGCUCAACCUGGGAAUUGCAUUCGAGACUGCUCUGCUAGGGUGCGGAAGAGGGAAGCGGAAUUUCCGGUGUAGCGGUGAAAUGCGUAGAGAUCGGGAGGAACAUCUGAGGCGAAGGCGGCGACCUGGACAGUGACUGACACUCAACUACGAAAGCGUGGGGAUCAAACAGG
rnacentral:rRNA from 1 species